AGGACGACGCUGGCGGCGUGCCUAGUACAUGCAAGUCGAACGGUCUUUCUAUGGAAGCUUGCUUCCACUGAGAAGAUAGUGGCGAACGGGUGAGUAACACGUGGGGUAACCUGCCCAUAAGAGGGGGGAUAACAUCCGGAAACGGGUGCUAAUACCGCAUAGUUUUCUUGAUCGCAUGAUCGGGAAAGGAAAGACGGCCUUUGUGCUGUCGCUUAUGGAUGGACCCGCGGCGUAUUAGUUAGUUGGUGAGGUAACGGCUCACCAAGACGAUGAUACGUAGCCGACCUGAGAGGGUGAUCGGCCACAUUGGGACUGAGACACGGCCCAAACUCCUACGGGAGGCAGCAGUAGGGAAUCUUCCGCAAUGGACGAAAGUCUGACGGAGCAACGCCGCGUGAGUGAAGAAAGGUUUUCGGAUCGUAAAACUCUGUUGUCAGAGAAGAACAAGUUGGAGAGUAACUGCUCCAGCCUUGACGGUAUCUGACCAGAAAGCCACGGCUAACUACGUGCCAGCCGCCGC
rnacentral:rRNA from 1 species